GACGAACGCUGGCGGCGUGCUUAACACAUGCAAGUCGAACGGAAAGGCCCCUUUGGGGGUACUCGAGUGGCGAACGGGUGAGUAACACGUGAGUAACCUGCCCUUGACUUCGGGAUAACUUCAGGAAACUGGGGCUAAUACCGGAUAGGAAUCCUUGCUGCAUGGUGGGGGUUGGAAAGCUUCGGCGGUUUUGGAUGGACUCGCAGCUUAUCAGCUUGUUGGUGGGGUAGUGGCUUACCAAGGCUUUGACGGGUAGCCGGCCUGAGAGGGCGACCGGCCACAUUAGGACUGAGAUACGGCCCAGACUCCUACGGGAGGCAGCAGUGGGGAAUAUUGCACAAAGGGCGGAAGCCUGAUGCAGCAACGCCGCGUGCGGGAUGACGGCCUUCGGGUUGUAAACCGCUUUCAGCAGGGGCGAAGCUUGUGGUGACGGUACCUGCAGAAGAAGCACCGGCUAACUACGUG
rnacentral:rRNA from 1 species